rnacentral:rRNA from 1 species
GAUGAACGCUGGCGGCGUGCCUAAUACAUGCAAGUCGAGCGAACAGACGAGGAGCUUGCUCUUCUGACGUUAGCGGCGGACGGGUGAGUAACACGUGGAUAACCUACCUAUAAGACUGGGAUAACUUCGGGAAACCGGAGCUAAUACCGGAUAAUAUAUUGAAUUGCAUGGUUUCAUAGUGAAAGAUGGUUUUGCUGUACCUUAUAGAUGGAUCCGCGCCUCAUUAGCUAGUUGGUAAGGUAACGGCUUACCAAGGCAACGAUGCGUAGCCGACCCGAGAGGGUGAUCGACCACACUGGAACUGAAACACGGUCCAGACUCCUACGGGGGGCAGCGGUAGGGAAUCUUCCGCAAUGGGGGAAAUCCUGACGGAGCAACGCCGCGUGAGUGAUGAAGGUCUUCGGAUCGUAAAACUCUGUUAUUAGGGAAGAACAAAUGUGUAAGUAACUAUGCACGUCUUGACGGUACCUAAUCAGAAAGCCACGGCUAACUACGUG